ensembl:miRNA
GUUCCAACUUUUCGCAUCUAAAAGGUGGAUGUUCCUUCUAUGCUUACAGGAUUUAUGGUUAAUCAUAGAGGAAAAUCCACAUUGUCAGUAUCUAAGGCCGCUUU